AACGUAGGUGGCAAGCGUUAUCCGGAUUUACUGGGCGUAAAGCGUGUGCAGACGGUGCUUCAAGUGGUGUAUGAAAUCGCUCGGCUCAACCGGGCGCGGGUAUGCCAGACUGGAGUGCUAGAGGGUGCGAGAGGGACGUGGAAUUCCGGGUGUAGUGGUGAAAUGCGUAGAGAUCCGGAGGAACCCCUGAGGCGAAGGCGGCGUCCUGGCGCACACCUGACGUUCAGACACGACAGCAUGGGGAGCGAACGGG
rnacentral:rRNA from 1 species